rnacentral:rRNA from 1 species
UACGUAGGGGGCAAGCGUUGUCCGGAAUCAUUGGGCGUAAAGAGCGUGUAGGCGGCUCGGUAAGUCCGCUCUGAAAGCCCGGGGCUCAACCCCGGGAGGCGGGCGGAUACUGUCGGGCUAGAGUCCGGAAGAGGCGAGUGGAAUUCCUGGUGUAGCGGUGAAAUGCGUAGAUAUCAGGAGGAACACCGGUGGUGUAGACGGCUUUCUGGACCGUAACUGACGCUAAGACACGAAAGCGUGGGUAGCAAACAGG